UAAGCUAAUAUGGUAUCGGUUAAAUUAGUUUUUAAUAUUGUGGUGAUUCAGUGUAUUCUUAGAUUUUGAUAUCUGUUUUAAUACUGGAAGCCUUUUUGAAUCUUAUUUGCAAGAAAGACAGGGUAUAAAUAAUGGAAUGGAAUGGAAUAAUGGGAUGCCUGGAGAGAACAGGCUGGAGAGGACACAGGGGGGUCCUUUUUGAUUACUGGUUCUAGAAGUGCAUGAAGAACUGUUCCUUCCUUUGUGAUGCACCUCAGAAUGCUUCUGUUAGCUCAUACAUAGGGAAUGGCAUUGCCUCCACCUUGGAGAGCAUUCUAUCUUUCAUUGGAAUGAUGGAGGCAGUGCCCUGCAGCUUUUCCUCUCAGAACUGCUGCGUGGUCUUGUAUGGCACCCUCACGUUGGCCCUGUUUAUCCUCUUCACCACAAUGAGCCUUCCUGGACUCUUGGUGUGGAACGGGAACAUUGGCAGAGUCUGGAAAUGCAUCUUCCAUUCCUCACCAAGAGGAAAUGUGGAUUAUCCCUCCCUGAGACAACCAGUCCUGUCCCAGACUGACCCACUGGAGGAAGACUAUGAGGAAAAUGAAUGCCAGUCCCAGGAACUUGUUGAUGAAGAAGAAGGCACCACUGUCCAGCAGAGAGAAGUCCAGCUUGGCCAGCCACCAGGUGGAACCAGCAGCAGUACCUCCAUUCGCAGACUGCUGUGUGACAAUGCAGCCUGUGCUCUGUGUGAACGCACAGCCACGGAAGCGGCAGAAAUGAUGUGCAUACAACGAAAAGCCAGUAGGAUUCCUCCUUUGCCGCAGCCCCCACUCCCUGCCCGCUCUUACGUGGAACAUGGGAGCCUGCCUGGCAUUUCUGCCCUGAGGGGCUCUGCUCCUUUUCCCCCAGUGAAAGUUCAAUGAAAAGCCCCUAGGAUUCCUCCUUUGCCACAGCCUUAACGUUCAGUUGGGUACCCUUACUAAGAGAACGGCGGCAUAUAAACAAAACAAAAAUAAUAAUUUUUUAAAAUUGCUAUCCUGGCUUUGAGACUUUCUUCUUUCACUUUAACUAAAAGGUGUUUCAAUUCAUUCCUGCUUUCUCUCUGUAAUAUGGUGUAAUAUGGUGUCAUCUGCGAAUUUUAAAUUAUUGGUGUUUCUUCCAUGAAUUUUUAGUCCUUCAUCUGAAUCUAGUAUGAUGUGUUCUGUGUACGGGCUGAACAGAUAAGAGACCACUGGUAAUGGCGCGGCUAAAAAGUAUUAGAAAGAAAGAAAGAAAGAAAGAAAGAAAGAAAGAAAGAAAGAAAGAAAGAUAGAAAGAAAGAAAGAAAGAAAGAAGAGGAUAAAAUGUACCCUUGUCUGACAUCUUUGGCUAUAGGAAACCAUUCUGUCUCUCCAUAUUCUGUACUAGCAGUAGCUUUUUGUCCACAGCACAAGUUAUGUAUCAUGGUCACUGAGGUAUGAUCGUUUCUAGCCAAGAGGAGAUCAGUACCUGCUAGUGGGAAUAAAGCACCAAUAUAAUUCA
rnacentral:lncRNA from 1 species